rnacentral:lncRNA from 7 species
UUUUUCAGUAUCUCAGGUUUAUAUGAUCAACUGUGUUGAAGAUCCCAGUUUCUUAUAACAAAAUUUAACACAGCCUGAUGAAAACUGAGUAUUAUAACAAGGAUUUGGGUCAUGCAAACAGAGAGUGCAGAUUUGCAUCAUAAAAUUGGAAGACUGCAUUAAGCCUUUUUUUAAGGAUGAAGUUGUUAAUGGUAUUGGGCACAACCCAAUACCAUUCAUUCAGGGAGAACUGAAAACAGAAUACAUCAGAACGGACAUCAUAGUGACUGGGAUUCCUUUGACUGAUACGGAAGAAUACACAAACCUUCCAUUCUAUCAUUUUCUUUGAACUGCCUUGCAUAUAUUGCUCAUCUAAUGGACAUUUUCAAGAAGUCUGUUGUUUGCUUUUUUUCCAGGGUUUUCAGCUUCCACUAAUGUAGGUUUCUGCUCUGAAAAUCCUGUUCUAAUAAAGUGCAUAGGAAGAUGCAUCCUAUUAUCUAUACAGAAAACUUAGUCACCAGCUGCCCUAAACUAGGGGAACUUCAUGAGUUGAUGAUUUUGGUGGUUAAUGGGUUACAACAUACUUUGCAUGGCUUCCAGCUUACAGGAGUUUUCCAGAAUUACCACCCAGCCAGAGCUUUCCCACAUGGGCAUCAAACAGGCUAAUUUUUUUGUGAAACAUUUUGCUUGAGUUACAAUGAGCAAACAGGAGUCUGCAUGAAAAUUAAUGGAAGCAAUAGAGCUUCAAGUGGCAGUAUUUGUGUGUUUGCCCUAGCUUUCCAGCUUUUAUUUUUGUUUAGAAAAUACGCACUAUGAGUCACUGGGAAUGUUAAUAAUUACAGGAUUUACCCUACAGGGAAGAUGCUCUUGUUUUUUUAUGAUGCUAUGACUUGGACUAUACAGAGAGGACAUUUUUACUGUAUUCCAUGUACUGGCCAUAGUAUCAUAUAUUUAGCAUGCCUCAUUGUUUUUAAUUUUUAUAUUUUACCAAUAAUUUAAAUACUGAAAGCGUUCUUUUUUUUUAAUCAGCUGAUAAAACAAAGUACAGUGAAUUUUCAGUAUUCUGUUCUACCCUUCCUACAAUACACCCAUCAAGAUAAACACGUUUACAGGUUUUGAUUUUUUGUAAUUGCUAUUUUUCCCCUCGUUUUCCCUUUUAAUACAUCACUUUCCUUUGAAAGCGCAUGUAACUCAAGGGUAUUCUGUUCUCAUGUACUGGUUCUAAUAUUCAUUUCCCAAAUAAAUACAACAUGACUUUACUCU